rnacentral:rRNA from 1 species
AUGAGGCGGACAAACGCGGUUAGUGAUGUACCCAACGCGCAAAACAUGCAGCGGACAAGCGAGGAGGCGAAAUCAGGCGGCGAAUCAAAGAAAGACGGCGGCGAGGGCGCGGCGGCCAAGCCGAAGGCAGAGGGCGGAGAGGGCAGGGACGCAGGCAACACGGCGGCCAUGGGAGGAGGCAGGAGCUCGAGGGGCACCACGCGGCGGGCAGAUCCAACGAGGAGGAGGCCGGAAUCGAGGCGGGGGCACGCCAUGGGAGGAGGCAGGAGCUCGAGGGGUACCACGCGGCGGGCGGAUCCGACCAGGAGGAGGCCGGAAUCGAGGCGGGGGCACGCCAUGGGAGGAGGCAGGAGCUCGAGGGGCACCACGCGGCGGGCGGAUCCGACGAGGAGGAGGCCGGAAUCGAGGCGGGGGCACGCCAUGGGAGGAGGCAGGAGCUCGAGGGGCACGUGA